GCUAUUUUGGUGGAAUUGGUAGACACGAUACUCUUAAGAUGUAUUGUCGCAAGACAUAUAGGUUCAAAUCCUAUAAGUAGCA
rnacentral:tRNA from 1 species